ensembl:snRNA U1 U1 spliceosomal RNA
ACACUUACCUGACAGGGGAGUUACCAUGAUCAUGAAAGAGUUUUUCCCAGGGCGAGACUUAGCCAUGGAACUCCAGAUGUGCUGACCCUUGUAAUUACCCCAAAUGUGGGAAACUCAUAAUUUGUGGUAGUGGGGGAAUGUGUUCAAACUCUCCUCUG